rnacentral:rRNA from 1 species
AUUGAACGCUGGCGGCAGGCCUAACACAUGCAAGUCGAGCGGAUGAAGGGAGCUUGCUCCUGGAUUCAGCGGCGGACGGGUGAGUAAUGCCUAGGAAUCUGCCUUGUAGUGGGGGAUAACGUCCGGAAACGGGCGCUAAUACCGCAUACGUCCUGAGGGAGAAAGUGGGGGAUCUUCGGACCUCACGCUAUCAGAUGAGCCUAGGUCGGAUUAGCUAGUUGGUGGGGUAAAGGCCUACCAAGGCGACGAUCCGUAACUGGUCUGAGAGGAUGAUCAGUCACACUGGAAGUGAGACACGGUCCAGACUCCUACGGGAGGAAGCAGUGGGGAAUAUUGGACGAUGGGCGAAAGCCUGAUCCAGCCAUGCCGGGUGUGUGAAGAAGGACUUCGGAUUGUAAAGCACUUUAAGUUGGGAGGAAGGGAAGUAAGUUAAUACCUUGCUGUUUUGACGUUACCAACAGAAUAAGCACCGGCUAACUUCGUG